AAAGAGCAAGGAAGGAGAAAAAAGAUAAAUAAAGAAAAAAAAAACUAGAAUACUAAGAACAUUUCUCAAAUCAAAAUAAUAGUCUCUGAGCUCUUAAGAAAUUCAUCUUCCACUGCUUUGUCUCCUUACUUUUCUGUAGAGUUUUAUGAAAUUAGUUCUUGAUAGACUAAAGACUAUUAAAUAAAAAUCUAUUUACUCCUUGAAGAAACAGAGAACAGUAAAAAUAUUUGAUUUUUAUUUAAUAACCUUUAAUCUAUUUUGCUGUGGCAGAGCAAUAUUGGAAGUAUUAAUUUAAAUAUCUGAAAACAUGUGUUUAGGCAGAACUAGUUCUCUUCAUCUCUUUUAUCAACUCCUCAGAUUAGAACAAGAUCCUUUAAGUUUGGGUAAAGGAAAGAAGAUCUGGACAGGCAGAAAGAGAGUAAGUUACUUAUGCUGUUCUCCGAGCCAAACUUUCAUCCUGCUAUGCCCUCACUUUCCAAAGUAAUCUCCAGGGGUGGAAGAUAGGCAAGCUCCCAACUUCUCUACUCCAUCAUGCAUAGGAGAGAGGAAUUAAAAUUGUUGCAUGGUGUAUUUAAGUGAAAUAGACCUUAGGUGUCCUCCCAGAGUCCCUAAGACUCCCUCAAAGAUGUGGAUAUGGCCAAAUAUUUUUCAUGGUAAAUGAUCAGAUGUGAUAUUGAAAAUUGGAAUACAACUGGAUACACCUGCAAUUGAUCAAGAUUACAUUUCCUAAGACCAGGUUGAAGGGGGUUCAAAGUACAUAUAUUACUUUAUGGAAAAAUAUUAAAAGGUUUGCACAUCUGAAUCGAUGUCUUGUGAUCCUGUGAACCCCAUAGCUCUACUAUUGGAGGUAAAUUUACCUACCAGCUUGGAGAGAUUAAGGAAGUGAUCUCUGGGUGAUAAUUCUAACUCUACUAUCAGUUCCUUACGCUGUUUUGCCUCAAUUUCUCUAUUUGCAAAAGAAAAUUUGGCUUUUCUUCUUAUAUGCUAAUGGUACCUGGGUGUAAGGACACCAUGUGGCUUCAAUUUUUCAGAGUGCAGGUUCAGCCAUGUAAAUUUCACUGUCAGCCUUAAAUAUAGGAGGGAAUUUUAUGUGUGAAUUUUCCUGGACUUGGCAUUCGUUUCCAAGUUUUUGCUUACUUGGUGACUUAUAAUAUGGAAAUAUAUUCCUGUGACCUUGGGAGAGAUGUAUAUUCAAGGUAGAGGUUUAUGUGAAAAAAAAUAGUCUUUGAUUUUAUUUUUAAACAGUAAUAUGAUGCACCGUCACACCUUUGUAAUAUGAUGCCCUCAAUGUGCUAAGUCCUCAGGUUUGAGAGACAUUAAGGUUGGGCCACUUGGGCACCUGUAAUUAAAAGCUAUUUAUGUUUUAAUGUAUCUCAGAUGCUUCAAUUGACUUGGUUAGGAUUGGCCUCUAGCUUGGUGGGAAAAGGUUUCCUUGUACAGAUGUUCCCUGCCUCCAUUCAAGGAGGGAGGCCAGCCAGAGGAACUGGCUGUUUAUUUUUGAGCCCAUGUAAAAGGAGCUCAGGAGUAGACACCUCCUGCUGUAGGCUAAGCCUGGCAAAGAGGUCAUCUUUGUUGCAAGUGGCUGAGGAAUUGCCUCCCCUGCUGAUGAUUGGGGAUAUUUUUAGCAACAAGCUGAAACUUUUCAUUCUUGAAAUUGUUUUCAUUUCCACUCAGAGGCAAACUCCAUGAGCUGGAGAAGAAAAACAAAAAGAGGCAUAUGUGCUAAUAGGAGCUGUGUGUCCAUGUAAGAAGAAACACGAUGAAAUUGCUUCCCCUGGUGCUGACAACUUAGUCCUGGCACCAGGAUGGUUCUAAUAGCUGUAGGCUAAAAGAAUCAUUUCCAUAGUGCAGCUCAUAAUGAUAAUGUAAAUUUCACUUAAGUACACAUGAUUACAGAAAAUUGCACAGAAUUGCAACAGACUUUGUACCAUACUGUUUAUGGAGCAAUAUAGAUUUACCAAUUUUUUUCCCUCUAAAUUCAAUAAAAGACAAGCUAUUUUGACUCUAAGAGAGGAUAAAGGUCUAUAGCAUUGUGUAAACAUGUAUUAAAAUUUGAACUCAGGUUUUCCACACAUUUUCUGAGUGCUAACAAUGGAGUCAAAUGUUACAGGGGAAUCCUACCACGUUGACCAGCCUGCAAAACUUCCAAUGAAGUGUCACGGAGUCACCAAGAAUCCUAGCUCUGUAGAUGUGUUUAUGGCAGGUUAAAACACUCAAAGGCACUUGUGAUUGAGGAGUUACAUAAAGGCACAUGUUAAGGCAUGUGAACAAAAGUUCUCUGAAAAGGAAUUUUGAGGAAAGAGACUUUAUUCCAAUGAAUAGUUAGUUUCCAAACAGUGAGAUGCAGCCUUCAGGGUAAAUUGAGAGUUCCAUCUACAGAACAAAGAAAGGGUUUAUAUUUUAUAGCAAAAAUUUCUGUCCAUGUUCCAAUCAGGUUUUCUUAUGCAAAUGAAUGAUUGAAACUUGCUUAGUUCUGAUUUGUUGUUGCAGCUGAGCUCUGAUGGUUGUGGCAGACAAGCUCUGAAAGCCCCAAAGUUGAAAAGGUUGCAGGUUUUCAAAGAACUGAGUGCAUGCAUGACCUCUAGUUAGCAGAUUAUGGUCUCUUGGCUCUAUUUUAAAUUUAGGCCCAGUUAGGCACUUGGGAUCCAUCUUGAAGGAUUAGUUCCUUUAGGCUCACAUUUGUUCACAGGCAUCUGUUUUUCCAGAACUCUUCUAGCACCAUGUGUACAUGUCUUGAGUCACUUCCGUGUUCCAUCACCCAUUAUUGUGGUUUGUGUACAUGUUGAUUAUUUCUCCCCUCUUGUAUGUUUACAAAGAGCAAGCACUGUGUGAAUUUUUUAAAAUUUGGCUUAAACUCAGUACCUAUUUGUUGAAUUAAAUUAAACUGGAGUGGAAUGAUUCCUUCUAUUAAAAUACAGCAAAACCUAUGGCAAGGAAUAGUAUUAAAAUCAUUAUUACCAUCUUAUUGGAGUCUUACUAUGGCAGAGUAAUCCAUUACAUGUGGCAGAAAGAUUUCAGGUAAUAGUAUGUGUUUCAGAGUGUUUGGAGAGAGCUAGCAGAGAACUACCAUUUGAAAAGAAAGAAAAGGAAACUAACUUCAUCAAAAGGCAUUAUUACUCAUUCACUUAUUUAAUCAUCACAGCAUCUCUCUAAAAUAGAUAUUUUUAUUCUCAAUUUGCAGAUAAGAAAACUGAAAUUUAGAAAGGCGAAAUACAUUUCUUCAGCUCAUGUAGCUAGGAUCUGACCCCAUUGUUAUCUACAUUCUAAGUCUAAGUUGCUUCUACCACUGUGCAAUGUCCUCUAAAGAAGAAACAUCUUACCUGUGGUCUUGUAGCAAUACCAAGUGUCCAUUUCAAUUUAAUUUUCCUAAAAUAUCACUAACCAAGCCAUCUUUAGAAAGAGAAAGUAUAAGAUACUGACUUAUUAAUAGUAUUUCAGCCAAGAAUAUAGGAAGAAUUCAAUAGCUUCUCUCUAUCUAUUGACGAUUGAUGAUUGACUCAUUUUAUAGGUGAUUACUGGGAGUGGCACAUAGCUCACAGCCAGCUGCAUCUUGCCCAUUUCCACGGGUGCCCUGAGAUUCAACUGCUGCUUCUGGGUUAAAGUGAGUAGGAGCAUUCCUCAGUAGUGAUGGUGGAGGCAGAGGUGCUAAAACUGGCCUCCUCUCCUCCUCUGUGGUUUUGAUGGAAUGAAACAGGGAGAAUUCGAAGACAAAGAAGGAGAGUCAAGCAGAUUAUACACAAGAUUCCGGCUGUAAUAGAGAAAGAUGAUUAUCCUUGGCUAUGAGUUGUCUGUCGAGGCAAAAAAAAAAAAAAAAAGAAGAAAAAGAAAUGCAAAGGGGAUGCUUCUCUACCCUACACACAUCCUGUCCCUCACUAAAAUAUACAGUAGUUAGUGUAUUCAUUUUCCAGACACAGAGGCAAAAGGCCCUGUAUAAUUAUUCCAUAAUCAGCUGGUAAUUACUAUGUCAUAAGUGAAUAUCUGUAAAUGUUUUUAGACCGUCCCGCCAACUUGGUAAUUAGACCUGGAAUUCUUAAGAGAAUCUGGGAUCUUUGAAAAUGCUUUCCAAUAAUAUUUGUUAUUGGUGCCAUAUGAAGCAGAGUGUGACUGAAAUGCACCAUGACUUUAGCAGCAUUUUGGUUUUUAGGCAGCAUUGCCAGGUAUGCAUGAGGGUUGCCAACAACUAUGUCUGUGAGUCGUUUUAACUAAAAUCACUAAUACUACAUACUGAUUUAAAGUAAGUACAAAUUUUGGAUGUGAAAACUAGAUACAUAUAUUUCCUUUUCACAAUCACAGUGAAUAACUCACAUCCUCUUGUAUGAGUGAAGAACCAGGGAGGUGACCAAGUAUAAGUACAAGAGAAGAGAAUGAUGCCAGUUUAUCAAUGACAAGGAACUUUAUGAAGUCACUUCCUCUAAGGUUUUCCAUCACUUCAGAUUGAAGAUCUCAAGGGUGUGGGGCAAUCAUUUUGGAAAACUUGAAUACAAUAGUAAAAUGAAUUUAUAUUCAAAUACUGCCCAGAAAUAUUUCAAGUGUAAAGGACAUCUCUUAUUCAUUUCUGUGUGUAUUCUCUGCUACCCAUUAUCCAGUGCUUGUGAUCCCGUGGUUACUGACUAUACUAACUUUUCGCAUGUCAUUCAAUUGAGGACAAUAAAUAGUUGGGAAUAAAUGAAGGAAAGGAACAAAUGAGAAAAUCUGAAGAAACAUCAAUAUUUACAAUAGAGAGACUGAUAUUUUGAAAUUCAAUGGCUUAAGCCUUUCUAAUUUACAAAUAAGGGUUGAAAACUCAGCUUAUUUGCAAAAUUUGCAAGGUGACAAAAAAUGGAGAGAUAAUCUCUAAAUCCAUUUUUUAAGAGUAGAGAAUUAAGGAGGAGGUUGAUGGACUCUUUUCUGGACUGCCUUGUUACUUUUAUUUAAAGAUAGGUUUCUUUUAUCAUGUGUCUUAGGUGUUUCAAAUCAUUUGUUUUUCCAGAUUUUGAGUUCAAAGUUAUAUCAAAAUCUGACACAUUGUAAUUACAUUCUUAUGAUAACUUUAUCACUUUUCAAGGUAUUUUUUAAAUUUUCUACCAAUAAGCUAAUAAUUCCCAAUUUGCUGAUUCUCUGGGAAGUCAAACCUGUCUCCUCAUUUCUCUACAGCAGAAAUUCUCAAGGCUUUUGAUUUCAGGACCUGCUAAUACUCUUAAAUUUUUUGAGGACCUCAAAGACAUUUUGUUUAAGUGGGUUAUAUAGUAUUUCACAUAUUGGAAACUAAAACUGAGAAAGUUAAAAUAUUUAUUGAUGCUUUAAAACAAAUAAUAAAUCAGUUACAGAUUAAUAUAAAUCACAUACUUUAGAAAUUCUAAAAAAAUUGGCUAAGCUUCAAAAUGAAAACAGUAGUGAGAAGAUUACUAGUGUUUCAUAGCAUGGCACACCUUUUAAAGUUCUGGCUUUAUAGAAGACAGAUGGUUUCUCAUAUUUGCUUCUAGAUUCAAUCUGUUGUGAUGUGUUGUUUUAGUUGAAGUACAUAAAAUUGAAAGGAGUAUUUUUUGAGCUUCUCAAAUAAUUAUGAAUAAUAUUUGAUACUAUCCCCAAACUCAUCAAGUGGACGUUUCUUAAAGGUUAGUUGCAGUGUGGAAUCUCGAACCAUGUCAAUGAAUUUUUCUUGUUCUAUUAUAUCAAAAUAGAUUGAUUAAGCUUCUAUUUUUAAUUAUUAAUAACUUGAGCUUUUUUUGUUUUAGAGAGAUUGUCUUCCAAAUGCUGAAGUCUGAAUAAUUUGUCUACAAGGUGGUCUUUCAAGUCAUUUUUUAUUGGUGUUCUAGAAAAAAUGUUGCAAGUUCAGUUCAUAAAACAAAAAAUCAGGGAGCUUGUAUUUGAUACAACCUCUAAUAUAUAGCCUUCAGAAAUACAUCCCAUUUCAUCAAGUAUCAGAAAUUCUGAAGAGUUCAGAUUUAAAAUUGCAUAAAAUUAAAAAUAUUUACUGCUUUAUCAAUGUUGUUCUUAAGUGAAACUGGAUUUUUUUUUUUCAGUUCCAAAUGUUUGAGGAUGAGCAACAUAACUUCUUGUACAGAUUGGUGGCACUGCUUUAAUUUGUGCUAAGGCACAAACAAUUUUACCCAUCAUUGCCUUUGUAAUAUCAGUGCAAAUGUCAACUCAGUGAAAAGGAAAAUCACGUCUUAGCAUUAUCUUGAAAAUAGUUUUUAAUCUUGUAAGACCCUGAAAAGGUCUUGGGAGUCUAAGACAAUCUAGACUAUACGUUAAGAAUAGCUGUUUUAUAAUAAUUAAAUAUUAAAAUAAGAUUAAAUUCUAUUCACCAAAUAUGUUUUAAGUAUGGAUUCUGUAGAGAGAGUGAUCCAUCAAAGAGAAAUACAUGACAUAGUCUUUGUCUUCAAGCAACUUACCACUUAAGAAGUGGCCCUUUGAGCUGUACUCUAACUUAAAGCCACAUUACCUUAAAAGCAUCACAACUAUCUUAAAAGAUGUUUCUUAUUUUAAUGAAUCUAUUCACAGUUAAGAACAAUGAGUUGAGCACAAAUAUGUAGUCGAUGUGGGUUUUGAGAUGCUUACAGUUGUGUUGAUGACAGAGCUCACCAUAGGUAAUAUAUUGCGAUGUCUUGAAAUAGAGGCCAUCAUGGGAAGAGUUUGGAUUGGUGGAAUCUGGACUGACUGAGCUGUCUGGAAAAUGGUUCUUUCCAAAGGAGAGAAGGGCUGACUCUGCAAAUCAAUCACUUGCUAUCCCAGAAUGGCUUAAAUUAUCUCUCCUGACUCCUCCAAUUGCUCUCAUUCCCUCUCCAUGUCUCCCUGCCUUAUUUUAGCUGUAAUUCAUUCUUUGUCUCAGCAAUGAAAAGAGCAGUGUAUUUCUUUUUUUCUCAGUAACCUGAUCUUAUGCAUAUAUAUAUAUGCAUCAGAGAAAAUAAGUGAAACUGAGCUUCCAAAACUAUAUUAAACUUCAUUACAACCUUUCAACACAGUCCUCUUAAAAAACAUUUCGUCUUCUGUGCUCUUCUAAUAGUACUAAAUAGUUGGGGAGUGGGACACAGUUAUUAACACCAAUAACAAAAGAAGGUCGUCCUUUGAUUUCCUCCAUUUCAAUUUUUUUUUAAGUAAGACAUAUUGAUUUUACAUGGCAGACGAUAAGCUAAAUAUUAAAAGUCUCUUUAAGUUGCUGUGAUUUUAUUUGGUUUUAUAUAAUCCUUAGGUUUCUGUCUUUAUAUUAACUUACUGCAUUUUUAUAUCUUCCUGAUAAAGGUAAGUAAUUCUUUAGAAACACUAUGGAUCAAUUCUGGCAACCUCUUUACAUACACACCACAUAAUUACAUAUAUAUAUAGCAUAUGUGUAUAUAUGUAUAUGCACACAGGCACUUAACAUACAUACGUGUUUGAAUGACAGAAUAAUUUGGAGCAGUCACAAUAUGAAGUAUUAGGUGUUGAUACUUUUUAAUGGUUUUUAAGGAUAGGUAUUUGGCCUAUUCUAACCAAGAAUACUUAGUCAUUUCUACUGAUGAGUCAGUAUCAUAAACUAACUCAUCAGUGUAAAUAGGCAGUGUUGUGGCCAGGUCCCCUAAAGAAGUUGAUUGCUUAAGAGACCCAAAUAUCCUUUACUUCUAAGGGAUUAUCUCUGGUUAGUUUUGAUAUAAACAUGGGUGGUAAAUUCCCUUGGUUGUUUUUUUCUCUACUUGCCAUUCUGAAUAAAGAGACAUCUAAGAUCCUGUUACUCCACCAGUAUUUUGUAACUUAAAUUAAAAAAUAUGGUUUACAAUAGAGGUAGACAGAUGAAAUAUUUACUGUAGUAAGAUGAGCCAAUCUUUUUGUUCUUUAUUUAUACACUUAUAUUCUCUACCCAACUUUUUCUCAAGGGACUGCUCAAGACCAUUUACAGAAAAACAAGGCUUUGAUUAUUGAGUUUGGCUUAUUCUGCUGUUUAGAAGGUGUGACAAUUUUAUUCCUGAAAUGAAAGAGACAGAUUUUGUAAGCCAGAACACACAAGGGAAAUCCACUUUCCUUGAAAAGUUCUGGCAUCUUCUUAACCUGGCACUUAAGGCAGUUCUACAAAAGGUCUACUUUCCAUUUCCACCCAGAGACAAGGAAUUUUUAAAGCAAGUUCAGAGGCAUGGCUGCACAGACUGAACCUGGAAUCUUCAAGAAAUGAAGAGGAUAAAUUGACAGAAUCAAAAACUGGCAACAUGAUGAGUCAAAAAGGAAUAAUGGGAUGGUGAUGUCAAAAUGGUGACUCAAAAUUUCAGACAAGAUUGGGCAAAGGUCAAGUUGGGAAGAUGGAGAAGUACAAAGUCAGGAGUAUCUGACAACAGAUUUUGGGCUCACCAAGAAACAGACAUAGAAUCUUGUUAGAAAUUUAAAGUGGAUUGGAGAAGAAACUGAGGCUGAGGAUGAAACAAGGCUUCUCAUUCUCUCCUACAAAUUGAAUAUAUCCACCUGUAGCAAGAGGAGCAGGCAGAAAGGAGGUUGCCCAGUUGAGCUAACCUCAUAGUUAAAUAGGAAUGUUUAACAAUAGCAGAAAGCAAAGAGAGCAUGAGCAACUUCUAGCUGUAACAGAGCCGAUAAUAGCUUCUACCCAGCAUCAUGAAUCAGAUAAACCACCAUGAGGUUAUAGCAAGACCUUCACAGCUGGGCUCUGUGGCUCACGUCUAUAAUUCCAGCACUUUGGGUA